AUUGAACGCUGGCGGCAGGCCUAACACAUGCAAGUCGAGCGGAUGGAGAGAGCUUGCUCUCUGAUUUAGCGGCGGACGGGUGAGUAAUGCCUAGGAAUCUGCCUGGUAGUGGGGGAUAACGUUCCGAAAGGAACGCUAAUACCGCAUACGUCCUACGGGAGAAAGCAGGGGACCUUCGGGCCUUGCGCUAUCAGAUGAGCCUAGGUCGGAUUAGCUAGUUGGUGAGGUAAUGGCUCACCAAGGCUACGAUCCGUAACUGGUCUGGGAGGAUGAUCAGUCACACUGGAACUGAGACACGGUCCAGACUCCUACGGGAGGCAGCAGUGGGGAAUAUUGGACAAUGGGCGAAAGCCUGAUCCAGCCAUGCCGCGUGUGUGAAGAAGGUCUUCGGAUUGUAAAGCACUUUAAGUUGGGAGGAAGGGCAGUAAGUUAAUACCUUGCUGUUCUGACGUUACCGACAGAAUAGGCACCGGCUAACUUCGUGCCAGCCGCCGCAGUAAUAC
rnacentral:rRNA from 1 species